GUGAAUCAUCGAAUUUUUGAACGCAAAUUGCACUCUCUGGUAUUCCGGAGAGUAUGCCUGUUUGAGAAUCAGUUUAAAUAAAAAUCGGUUUGUUUGCUGCCUUUCGUGGUGACUCACCGGAUGUGGGUCGUCUUGCCUUCGGUUAAGUGACCUAAAAUUUUGCAUGAUUUUUUCGAACUUAUUUAAAUUGUUUUACGUACUUUUGCUAUAUCGAAUACUAGUUGCGUUCAUCCUCAUGAUCCGCUCCUAUAAUUUCUCAUCAAAAUUAC
rnacentral:misc_RNA from 1 species